UACGAAGGGGGCUAGCGGUGCUCGGAAUCACUGGGCGUAAAGCGCACGUAGGCGGAUUGUUAAGUCAGGGGUGAAAUCCUGGAGCUCAACUCCAGAACUGCCUUUGAUACUGGCGAUCUCGAGUCCGGGAGAGGUGAGUGGAACUGCGAGUGUAGAGGUGAAAUUCGUAGAUAUUCGCAAGAACACCAGUGGCGAAGGCGGCUCACUGGCCCGGUACUGACGCUGAGGUGCGAAAGCGUGGGGAGCAAACAGG
rnacentral:rRNA from 1 species